CAGGCAGUGUCAGAGCAGGACUCUAAAUUCCAUGUCAUCACAAACUCCAUGGAGCUUUGAAACCUGAGACGUCAUUACUGUGCUUGCAGGGGAAUGUGGCUGUUGGACACAUUGGAAAGGACCACUGUGUUCUGUGAGUGUGCUGGCCUGGAACCAGGAAGUGGAGGAUAUGAACAUGUAAGGAGCAAAGGAAGUUCCGACUGGAGGUCCAGUCCUGACAUCACCAAAGAUGUAACAAAGACACCCUUGGGAAUUGGCAAAGCCUUCUCUUGUCUGAAGAAACAUUGAUGGAGUGUACAGAAAGCAUGCACAUGCUCCUUCGGAUGUUCACAGCCUGAGACUCCUCUCUACAGAGACCUUCCAACCCUCCUCCUGUCUCUUCCAGGAUAAUAACUGGAGCUAAACUUCAUAACGAGCAAAUUCAUAUUCAUCAUUCUAUUUAUGCUGCAAAACAACCCGGAGUGUUGGCCACAUCGCCUGACCUGCCCAAGUUGAGACCACGGAAGUGCCAGAGUGCCUGUGAGUCUCCAGCUUUGCAAAAUUUGCAUAUACUGCAAUUUUGCUGGAGAAAUCAGCACCGUGGGUAUAAAGAAGAUUUGCCAUGAAGCCAAGACCAAGGCAUGAUGUUGCCUCUAGUGAUCAGCAGAAGAUGAAUGCUCCAAAAUUGCUAACUUCGAUUAAAAGGCGAUAAGUGACUCUCGGCACUUUCCUGGCAGGUGUUAGAAUGCACAUGCUCCUUUCAUCUGCUCCUUCAAAGGCAAAAGGUUUUAACAGCACAUGAAAAGAAUUCUUGAUGCCUGGGAAACCUGGGAGAGAAAAGAAGAUACAGCAGUAGAUCCCGAGCUCUGAGGCCCAUGCAGAGGCUGUGUGAAGUCUGGCAUAGUUUCUUCUGGAAGAGUGAUGAGUGGGAUCCCUGUAAGUAAGAGGGUAGGACAGCUAGUCAGAUUGCUUUGGGAAUAUCUGCAGAGCCUCUCUGUGGGAAAGCUGGACUUCCUCUGGCAAGUGAAAUGUGGGCACAGGCAAUAUCUGCUGCUUUUCAAUAGAUUCUUUGCCCCCUUCAUCCACAUUAGCAAGUAUUGCCUCUUCUGUAGUACAGUGCUCCUGGCAGAAGCUGUCUCCUCAGGCUCCUUUAGAGGAAGCCAAGGAACAUGAAAGAGUCCCCCUCACCAUCAAAUCACAACGGAUCUGCAAUGUGAGAAAGAAAUAGACUGAAGCUCUUCAGACAGAAAUUUUUGAGGUCAUUUAGCAUUACAGAAUAACUUAAGACCAUACUCAAGAAUGGUAAUGAAGAAUUGUUGUCAAAUUAGAAAUCCUAUAUUGAGAAGAAUUGUAGAGUUCAUUAAUUAUUCAUAGUAUAGUCCUAAGGAUGGCUGUCUAAAAUAGAUGUAAAAUAAAUAAAAUCUAGCUCAUUUGGGUUGAGAAAAUGGAAUCAGAAAAUAAAUGUUCACUUAAAAAUAAAAGCAAAUGGGGGAGGAAUCAUAAAAUAUCAUAAAAAGGAUGAAAAACAGCAAAAUAGAAGAAACAGUAAACAUAUCAACACAGAAUAGUAAUGAUAAAUGUAAAUGGACUAAACUCAUUUAAAAGGUGAAAAUGGAGUGGAAUAAAUAUAAUAAAAUUUGGCGAUAAGAUGUUUGCAACAGUAUACCCCAAAGAAAAAGAUGUGAGCAAUGAGGAAAUAAAUGGAUAAAAAAUGGCAUGCUAGAUCCUAAUAAACCAAAAGAGAGCAGAGAUAACGGCACAGACACGCCAACCUUAGUCAGAUAACAUAGAUGUUACACAAAAAGAUUCCCUACCCAGUGAUAAAAGUUUUAACCCCCAGGAAGAUGGUUCUUAAUCCAGUUGUACCAUUUAACAAAGCCUCAGAAAUGGAAAGCAAAGGCCUGUAAAACUGAGAGAAUGUGGCAGAUUCUCCAUCUUAAUGGGGACUGAAGCAUAUCUUCCUCUCUGACUAUCAGAACUACAGAAAUUUUGAAGACACAGGAGAAAUAAAAAUACAUUUUGUUAAUCAAUGAAAACCUAUAUAAAAGUUGAUCACAUGUGGGGCAGCAAAGGAUGUUUCCACAAAAUACACACACCUCUUGCUGGCCACAGCCUGCCCAGCCCCCACCUGAAUAAUCAAUGCAUUUUAGAAGUCAGAGCACAGAAAGGAACAAAUGUCCAUGACAUUUGUGAAAUUUAAAAUAUUCCUCCUAAGUACUCUUGGGUUAAAGAAGAGAAGGAAAUGGAAAAUUACGAGAAUUGAAUGCUAACUUUAAAAACUAUGUCGCAAGAGAAGGAGGCACUCAUAACCACCGGGUCCUCUCUCCAGCAUAAGAGACUAUGGAAUGUUCAGCCCUAAAUGGGAGGUACAUCUCAACCACUGCCCCCAAGAAUCAAGGAUCUUCCCAGAAGAUGGCAAAAGACUGCAAGAUCCAGAGGUAGUGGGUACCUUCUGGGAAAAGGUGUUUUCUGCACACAACAGGGUGGUGCCCAUCUGAGUCCACAGUGGCUGUGACAGCACACACAGACCUGUGCAAGCCCAAGCAAGAUGCAACCCCACCAUGGAGUACAGGAAGGUGAGUGUGGAACCCCUCCCCGAGCUGGGAUCUGUCGGCAUUGAGUAGCAGCUGGCAAAGAGAGAGCCAGUUUUCUUUAAUGAUUAGAUCCCCAGAGGGUGGGCCACACUACAGGGCAGGCUCCACUCCCAAGAGCAAUUGGGAGGAGUUGGGGGAGGGAAUAAAGAUGUUCAAAAUAUAUCUCAAGGAAUACAUAAAAAAUAUCAUUAAAGUAGGAAAAAAUCUGAAUAGCAACCAUGAGGAGUAACACCUGCACUUUAAGGCAAAUUUAUAAACCAAAAUACUUUUUAAGAAGAAUAAAUGAUAAAAAUUAAGGAAACACAAAGGCAAAACAGUUGGAUAAAUAGAAUGUAAGAUAAAUAAAAAUCACCAUCGAAGCUGAAAGUAGAUUAUUUAGAAAUCUAAAGAAUCUGAGAGAAGCCUGGGGAUAAUGCACAAGAAAGCAGAGGGUCUAAGUAGACAAUAUGGAAUUUAUACCAAUAAAUUUGAAACCUUGAUCAUAUAUACAAAUCCCAAAAGAUUAAUUUACCAAAAAAAAAAAAUGAAAAGCAAGAAGCAACUGAAAGGCUGAUGUGUCCUACUGCAUCACAAAUAUGAAGUGGACAGUCAGCUGAGAACAAAGAGAAUAUCCAUCUAUGAUGGUUUUAGAUGAGCCUCAACUUUGUAAGGAAAGCUCAUCCCGAGCUUACACAAAUUAUUCUAGAAGGUUGAUGGGGAGGGAAUAAUCCUAGCUCAUUCUAUGUAGUCAGUGUAACUUUGAGCUUGUAGUUCAGGCCUAUAGUCACAGGACUCCUAAAGCUGGGCCAUGGGAAGGGCAGGUGAGUUCAAGCCCAGCCCAUGCAAGAGUGAGAGCCUGUCUCAAAACACAGCAACAGAAAUCCGAAGGAGUAUAGAACCAGCAUGGUGAGGUUAGUAGUAAUUUAAAUGAUUUCACAUUGGUAAAUUGAUGUGGCCACAUCGGGAGACCCCCCUGAGCAAGACCACCACACAGCCAGUGUCCGAUGCAAAUACU